CCUACGGGUGGCAGCAGUGGGGAAUAUUGCACAAUGGGGGAAACCCUGAUGCAGCGACGCCGCGUGAGGGAAGACGUAUCUCUGUAUGUAAAGCUCUAUCAGCAGGGAAGAAAAUGACGGUACCUGACUAAGAAGCCCCGGCUAACGAUGUGACAGCCGCCGCGGUAAUACGUAGGGGGCAAGCGUUAUCCGGAGUUACUGGGUGUAAAGGGAGCGUAGACGGCACUGCAAGUCCGGAGGGAAAGCCCAUGGCUUAACCCUGGUACUGCUGUUGAAACUGUGGAGCUUGAGUGCGGGAGAGGUAAGUGGAAUGCCUGGUGUAGCGGUGAAAUGCGUAGAUAUUAGGAGGAACACCAGUGGCGAAGGCGGCUUACUGGACUGUAACUGACGUUGAGGCUCGAAAGCGUGGGGAGCAAACAGGAUUAGAUACCCCAGUAGUC
rnacentral:rRNA from 1 species